GACGGAGGAGGCAAGCGUUAUCCGGAAUUAUUGGGCGUAAAGAGUCCGUAGGUGGUUUGGCAAGUCUGCUGUUAAAGCCCAAAGCUUAACUUUGGUAUAGCAGUGGAAACUACUAGACUGGAGUGCAAUAGAGGUAGAGGGAAUUCCCAGAGUAGCGGUGAAAUGCGUAGAGAUUGGGAAGAACACCGGAGGCGAAAGCGCUCUACUGGGUUGCAACUGACACUGAUGGACGAAAGCUAGGGGAGCGAAUGGG
rnacentral:rRNA from 1 species